AUGAACGCUGGCGGCGUGCUUAACACAUGCAAGUCGAACGAGAAGUGAAGACGGAAACCUUCGGGCGGAAGGCUUUAUUUCGAGUGGCGGACGGGUGAGUAACGCGUGGGUAACCUGCCUCAUACAGGGGGAUAACAGUUGGAAACGACUGUUAAUACCGCAUAAGACCACAGCACCGCAUGGUGCGGGGGUAAAAACUCCGGUGGUAUGAGAUGGACCCGCGUUCGAUUAGCCAGUUGGCGGGGUAACGGCCCACCAAAGCGACGAUCGAUAGCCGAUCUGAGAGGAUGACCGGCCACAUUGGGACUGAGACACGGCCCAAACUCCUACGGGAGGCAGCAGUGGGGAAUAUUGCACAAUGGGGGAAACCCUGAUGCAGCGACGCCGCGUGAGUGAAGAAGUAUUUCGGUAUGUAAAGCUCUAUCAGCAAGGAAGAAAAUGACGGUACCUGAGUAAGAAGCCCCGGCUAACUACGUG
rnacentral:rRNA from 1 species